rnacentral:lncRNA from 13 species
UUUGACUCUACCUCUCACGCAAGCUUAUCCUGCGGGGCAUUCCUCCUAUGGGUAUGGAGUCACCGUGAAGUGUUCCAGAGAGGCUGUCUACAGAUGUACUCAUGCCGAACAUGAAUUGGAGAAGCCCUAGCUGUGCCUGCAAUGCAAUGCUCACAGCAUCUUCAUCAGGAGUAGAUUCCACAUCAAGAAACCACUAUCUUUAUUGAUCUCCAAGAAGCAACUCCUCACCCAUUCAAGUUUUAUGAUUCAACUCGAUCACAAUAGAAAUCAAGGCAAGUUAUUUUGUGGAUAUUGAGGAACCGAUUCUAAAGCUUGUAUGAAAAGGCUGAAGACCCAGAACAGAGCACAAUACUGAGUAAGAAAUGUUCAUGGACUGACACUAUACAACUUUAAGAUUAACUAUGUAUGAAGACAUUGUGAUACUGAUAAAAAAAAAGAGAAAUAGAUCAAUGGAGCAGAACAGAGAGCCCAGCAACAGACUCAGAAAUAUAGUGAAGUGAUCUUUGAUAAAGGAAU